ACGGAAGGCAGCAGUGAGGAAUAUUGGGCAAUGGGCGAAAGCCUGACCUAGCAACGCCGCGUGGAGGAAGAAGGUUUUCGGAUCGUAAACUCCUGUCCUUGGUGAAGAGGAGAAGACGGUAGCCAAGGAGGAAGCCCUGGCUAACUACGUGCCAGCAGCCGCGGUAAUACGUAGGGGGCAAGCGUUGUCCGGAAUGAUUGGGCGUAAAGGGCGCGUAGGCGGCCUGGUAAGUCUGAAGUGAAAGUCCUGGCUUUAAGUUGGGAAUUGCUUUGGAUACUGUCGGGCUUGAGUGCAGGAGAGGUCAGUGGAAUUCCCAGUGUAGCGGUGAAAUGCGUAGAGAUUGGGAGGAACACCAGUGGCGAAGGCGGCUUUCUGGACUGUAACUGACAUUGAGGCUCGAAAGCGUGGGGAGCAAACAGGAUUAGAUACCCUGGUA
rnacentral:rRNA from 1 species